UUAAAUUGAAGAGUUUGAUCAUGGCUCAGAUUGAACGCUGGCGGCAGGCCUAACACAUGCAAGUCGAACGGUAACAGGAAGCAGCUUGCUGCUUUGCUGACGAGUGGCGGACGGGUGAGUAAUGUCUGGGAAACUGCCUGAUGGAGGGGGAUAACUACUGGAAACGGUGGCUAAUACCGCAUAACGUCGCAAGACCAAAGAGGGGGACCUUCGGGCCUCUUGCCAUCAGAUGUGCCCAGAUGGGAUUAGCUUGUUGGUGAGGUAACGGCUCACCAAGGCGACGAUCCCUAGCUGGUCUGAGAGGAUGACCAGCCACACUGGAACUGAGACACGGUCCAGACUCCUACGGGAGGCAGCAG
rnacentral:rRNA from 1 species